CUCUCCCGUUGAAGCUCUCUGUAACUCAACCUCACUCUCUCUAAUUUCCCGAGCAUCACCACUCACAACCGCCAUCUCUUACAGCUUGGUUCAACACAAAAUCACCAGAAAUAGAUAAAGGGUUGCCUGAGGAUCUCAGCAGUGGCUCUGCAUGGAUCAUCUGCGCAUGGCAGAGUUUCGAACUCACUGAACCGUGAGCUUCGAGUCUUCCCCGUCGGUUCAGUUUUCUGGUGAACUCAAGGCGAAAUUCGAAAGGAAUCGUUGUCGAUUUAGUUGGACUCAACUUCUUCUGAUCUCAGGCUAGGAAUCCAACGACCUUUUUGGUUGUUCCCGAUGACCCCAAGAUGGAAUCAGUCUCAAUUUUUACAUUUUAUAUCUAGGUACAUCUGUGGGAAGUGGCACCUCCCUCGCUAGUUGAGCGGCUCCCGGGCAAAGGAAGACUUGUGAGUGGACCCCUUCAUAACUUGCAUGGAUUUAGGUUCGAGGCACAUGAUCCCGGCGUUAGGGCAUCUUUACGUAGGUAUCUUCGAGUCUUUCCAGUGUAGAACCACUCCUUUAUUCAUAUAUUUUAUUGUAAUUCUUUCAUGUAUUCCUUGAUUAGUUGUAUGCUCUGAACAUGUUCCGCGUCGACAUGUUUCUUUCUAAUUAUUUAUCUUAUUGUUUGCAUGUUUAAAAUGGCUUCGACACUCUCACGUGUCGGCCAACACAUGCCCAUCCUAGUAUUUGGGUAUAUCAGGUUGGGGCGUGUCACAUAUUCUCAUCUAGGAGAAUGUUUCUAACCUUCAAAUCUCUAUGGAUUACCUUCAA
rnacentral:sRNA from 1 species